GUGCAGUUAUUAUCAUCAGCAUCUAGAAAGCAUCAUUCAGGGCAUUGACAUCCAUACUGCAUUGUUCUUACUGGAUCUUUCUAUCAGUGAACAUUAUGGAAGUACCAAUACAGCAUCAAGUUAUUCCUGGAUGGAAAGUUUUCAAACUUCUUCAUUUGGAGUUACUUGAACUUUAGGAUGAUAGGCUUUUUGACGAUGCCUUCCCUAUGUGGAUUACUACAAUUUGAUCACUGGGAAUUCUCUGCCUCAAAGCAGAUAAUUUUGCUCUCUGGAAACUCAUGCCCACCUCUUUGACUUCGGGUCAAAAUUGCUUUCCUCACACUUGUAAAACAUUAGAAUGCCCUUCAGCCGUGGGCUGUGGAAUGUCAUCACUCUCAGGUGACUACAGAAGCGUUGGCACCCAGCAUGCUCAGUACCACGUCAGAACCCGUGUGGGACUUGGUGAGAGACGUGGGUUCCAGCUUUUCCUUGUUGGCCCCUACUUCGUAGCCAGCUCUCCUCGAUUGCCUGCCUACUUGAAAUACAGCAGUUCCAGACAAUUCCAGAUUCGAGAACAGACACAGCUCCUCCAAUUAUGUCAUCUCCAACACGCACGUCCUCCUCCCCUGCCCCAUCCACGGAGACUUCUCUGGUGUUCGUUCCCCAGAUGCUCCCAGAACUCACAGGAAAGGGAAAAGACUAACGCUGCCACCACUCCCCCCCCCCCCCCCAGCAGUGGACUACAGCCAGCUUCUCCUUCCUGCUCCAGCCCCAGCAUAUGGCCCGAGCAGUUGUCCCGAGAACGCAGUUCAUCACAUGGAGAUGUUGACUUCGGACAUAGGCCAUUGUUUCCUGUGUCGCUUGUAACUAUCCUAGAGGUGCAACGAAAAUGGAGUUGUAUUUUCCAAACUUUGAAGACCUGUUGGAAUAGAGGGUGCUCCUCCAAACCUUCUGUAAGGUCCCUGAGAGGUGAAAGAGAAUGUUGCCAUCGUGGUCGGGGGGCAGCAUCGAAGACCCAUGCCUGUACGAUAAGACACACAGACGGAGACCGCAUGGCAGGGUGGAGAAUGAACAGAAGUUGA
rnacentral:lncRNA from 1 species